rnacentral:rRNA from 1 species
UACGUAGGGGGCAAGCGUUGUCCGGAUUUAUUGGGCGUAAAGAGCGUGUAGGCGGCCAUACAGGUCCGUUGUGAAAACUCGAGGCUUAACCUCGAGACGUCGAUGGAAACCGUAUGGCUAGAGUCCGGAAGAGGAGAGUGGAAUUCCUGGUGUAGCGGUGAAAUGCGCAGAUAUCAGGAGGAACACCGGUGGCGAAGGCGGAUCUCUGGGCCUUACCUGACGCUGAGGCGCGAAAGCUAGGGGAGCAAACAGG